rnacentral:rRNA from 1 species
UACGAAGGGGGCUAGCGUUGUUCGGAAUCACUGGGCGUAAAGCGCACGCAGGCGGAUUGAUAAGUCAGGGGUGAAAUCCCGGAGCUCAACUUCGGAAUUGCCUUUGAUACUGUCUGUCUUGAGUCCGGGAGAGGUGAGUGGAAUUCCUAGUGUAGAGGUGAAAUUCGUAGAUAUUAGGAAGAACACCAGUGGCGAAGGCGGCUCACUGGCCCAGUACUGACGCUCAUGUGCGAAAGCGUGGGGAGCAAACAGG